GCAGGGCGGGACGGGCCGAGGGAUAGGUGGGGCCUGGGUUGGGAGGACUGAGUUGUGCCUCGGUUCACGCCAUGUGACUUUGGGCCAGUUGCCUAACCUCUUGGUGGCUCAGUUUCUUCCUCUGUAAAAUGGAGGUAAAAGUCUCUAUCCCAUAAGGUUAUGGGAGGGUUAAAUGAGGCAGCAUAGAUUAAUAUAUUUGGUGUACUAUCAGUCACUAGUGAAAUGUUAAAUAUAUGUGAGCUCAGAUAGCAGCAAGAGACUGCGGUGGGGAAAUGCCAUUCAUUCAUCUAGUCUCUCAGCAAGUAUUUAUGUAGCGUGUAUCAUGUUCAGGCAGCAUUCUAGGGUAUAUGACAGGGACCCAGACCAACAAUGCCUGUGCCCUCAGCUUCCUUCCUAGGAGGAGGGUACGUCCAUAAACAGAUCUGAAGCAGCAAUCCCUGACUGGUGCUGUGAAGAAAAAUGAAGCACAGGGAGAGAGUAGGGGCGAUGAGUUUGGGCAACAGAGUGAGACUCCAUCAAUCAACCAAUCAAUCAAUCUGGUGGCCAGAGAAGGUUGGAGAAGACCUCCAUGAGAAGGUGAUGUCUGGGCAGGGACUGGAAGAGGGGAAGGGAGGAGCGAGCCGGCAUGGGCAGGGGAGGAGCACCACAGGCUGGGGGUCAUGGCAGGCACAAAGGCCCUGAGGUGGGAGCACGCUUGCCUUGUCUGGGGAGUAGUAGGGAGACCUGGGGGCUGAGGAGGGGCAGCAGUGGGUGCAGGGAGAGAGGGGAGCAGGCAGAGGACCGGCACUUCCAUUAGGGGCUGGAAGGACUUCAUUGAGUGAGAUGGGAAGUUACAGAGGGGUUUGGGGCAGGUUAACAACUAAUCUGACUGACUUAAAAAAAAAAAAAGAUUAAAAAAUCGAGUGUAAUUUCAGACUCACAGAAAAGUUGCAAAAAUAAUACAAAGAUUUCCUGUAUACUGUCAUCCAGAUUGUCCCCCAUUCUGUGUAUGUGUGGGAGUUUAUAUAUAUAUGCGUAGUUUGAGAGCAAAUCGUGCAUAUGAUUUCUUUUUACCCAUAAAUACUUGAGUAUUUUCAAAAAAAUUUUAAAAACCCAAGGAUGUUCUCUUAUAUAACCACAGAACAAAUAUUAAAACCAAGAAAUUUUUUCUUGACUCUGUCACCCAGGCUUGAGUACAGUUGCACGAUCUCCACUCACUGCAACCUCCUCCUUCCGGGUUCAAGCGAUUCUCUUGCCUCAGCCUCCCAAGUAGCUGGGAUCAUAGGGAUGCGCCACCAUAUCCAGCUAAUUUUUGUAUUUGUAGUAGAGACAUGGUUUCAACAUGUUGGCCAGGCUGGUCUUGAACUCCUGACCUCAGGCGAUCCACCCUCCUUGUCCUCCCAAAGUGCUGGGAUUACAGGCGUGAGCCAUGGUGCCCAGCCAAAACCAGGAAAUUAAUGAUGCUACAAUACUAUUGUCUAAUCUACAGACCUAAUUCAGAUUUUUGUUAGUCUUGCUAAUAAGGUCUUUUAUAGGGAAAAAAGCAUUUUUCUCACCCAGGAUUCAAUGAAGGAUCUUUGUGUUCCAUGACCUUGACGUGUCAGAUGAGCACAGUCUGGUUAUUUUGUACACUGGCCCUGGGUCUGGGCUGUCUAAGGUUUCCUCACGAUCAGGUUCAGGCUCAGUGGUGCCGUGUCCUUCUCAGUGUGUCCUGUUAGCUAGUACGUGAGGACAGUUUGUCUCAUAUGCAGUGAGUCUAACUUUGACCUCUUGAGGAGGGUAAUAUCUGCCAAGUUUCUUGCUGUAACUUUUGCUUUUCCCUUUGUAAUUAAUAAAUAUUUGGUGAAGAGAUACUUUGAUUAGAUUUUUUUUUUUUUGAGACGGAGUCUCACUCUAUUGCCCAGGCCGGAGUGCAGUGGCACAAUCUCAACUCACUGUGACCUCUACUCCCUGGGUUCAAGCAAUUCUCCUGCUUCAGUCUCCUGAGUAGCUGGGAUUACAGACACAUGCCACCAAGCCUGGCUAAUUUCUGUAUUUUUAGUAGAGAAGGGGAUUCCUCAUGUUAGCCAGGGUGGUCUCGAACUCCUGACUUCAGGUGAUCCACCCGCCUUGGCCUUCCAAAAUGCUAGUAUUACAGACAUGAGCCACUGCGCCUGGCCUACUUUGAUACUUUGUAUUCUGUUUGUCAUCAAAACCUUCUCCCAACUAGGGUGACUACCAAAUACUGCUUUUCAAAUUCUGUCAUUCCUUCUACAUUUGUUAGUUAUUUUAUUGCUUUCCUUUCAUUCUAUCAGUGUAGACUUAAGGAUCCUUACUUUAUUCUAAGGGUUUCCUUUUUUUUUUUGAGAUAGAGUUUUGCUCUUGUUGCCCAGGCUGGAUGGAGUGCAGUGGCUUGAUCUCUGUUCACUGCAACCUCCGCCUCCCGGGUUCAAGCGAUUCUCCUGCCUCAUCCUCCCAAGUAGCUGGGAUCAUAGGCGCCUGCUGCCAUGCCUGGCUAAGUUUUUGUAUUUUUAGUAGAGAUGGGGUUUCACCAUGUUGGCCAGGCUGGUCUGGAACUCCUGACCUUAGGUGAUUGAUCUGCCUCGGCCUCCUGAAGUUCCAGGAUUACAGGCGCGAGCCACUGUGCCCGGCCAUACUUCCUUACUGCUGUAACUUCUUUUGAUGCUCAAAUGAUCCCAAGUUUGACUGGUGGGAGUCCCUUCAAGCUGGCUUCUGUGACUUGGGGAGAUGUCCUGUCACUCUUUGACUACUUUCUUACUGUUUGGCACAGCAAGAUGUUUUGGGUUAAUCCUGCCUUCCUGACUGUAGUGUUGGAACCAGCCAUUUCUCCAGGGAACCCUGCUAGUGGAAUUUACAAACGCGAUCUGGGUGCUGGCGUGUGCACAUUGCUAGUUGGGAUGUCAUUACUUCUAGGCUCUCUCAGUGGACAGAACCAGAAAAGAAUUAUAUGAUGCAUACAACAACAUCUCUGUCAUCUAUAUAAAAAACCAUAUUCAGGUUUCCUCCUGAAACCUCCAAUUCCAACCUAACAUCACUGGAUUCAUUUUAGCUUUUCCUCUUCCUUGUUUGUAAUUCUCUCUGUUGACAGUAAGAAACUUGACUCCGUUAUCUGUAAUGCGUUUACUUAGUUGAGCAAAACUAGAAUACAGUUUCAGAAUCCUCCAUCCAUAGCACUAUUAAAAACAAUCCUGGCUGGCGUGGUGGCUCACACCUGUAAUCCCAGCACUUUGGGAGGCUGAGGCAGGUGCAUCACAGGGUCAGGAGACAGAGACCAUCCUGACUAAUACAGUGAAACCCCACCUCUACUAAAAGUACAAAAAAAUUAGCCAAGUGUGGUGGCAUGUGCCUGUAGUCCCAGCUACUCAGGAAGCUGAGGCAGGAGAAUCGCUUGAACCCAGGAGGCAGAGGUUGCAGUGAGCUGAGAUUGUGCUCCAGCCUGGAUGACAGAGUGAGACUGUCAAAAAAAAAAAACAAAAA